rnacentral:lncRNA from 1 species
CUGUCUACUCCAUUUGGAGGGAACACAAUCGCCGGAGACAUGGAGAAGCACCGAACAAUGCGGCUCAACUAAUCAAGUGGAUUGAUACACAAGUCCGAAAUCAGAUCACAACCAUUAGAAGACUGCAGGACCGUCGAUACGAAGCCUGUUUUCAAGCUUGGUUACAAAGCCGAGCGUAAGCUUUAGCCAUCUCAAACAAUCUCUUAGUUUUUAAAAUUAUCAAACACACGAUGCACUAGUUGUAACAACAUUAUUUUUUU